rnacentral:rRNA from 1 species
GACGAACGCUGGCGGCGUGCCUAAUACAUGCAAGUUGAGCGCUGAAGGUUGGUACUUGUACCAACUGGAUGAGCAGCGAACGGGUGAGUAACGCGUGGGGAAUCUGCCUUUGAGCGGGGGACAACAUUUGGAAACGAAUGCUAAUACCGCAUAAAAACUUUAAACACAAGUUUUAAGUUUGAAAGAUGCAAUUGCAUCACUCAAAGAUGAUCCCGCGUUGUAUUAGCUAGUUGGUGAGGUAAAGGCUCACCAAGGCGAUGAUAUAUAGCCGACCUGAGAGGGUGAUCGGCCACAUUGGGACUGAGACACGGCCCAAACUCCUACGGGAGGCAGCAGUAGGGAAUCUUCGGCAAUGGACGAAAGUCUGACCGAGCAACGCCGCGUGAGUGAAGAAGGUUUUCGGAUCGUAAAACUCUGUUGGUAGAGAAGAACGUUGGUGAGAGUGGAAAGCUCAUCAAGUGACGGUAACUACCCAGAAAGGGACGGCUAACUACGUG